AUACGGAUACGGAAACAACAUAAUAAAGAUAGAGGGACUCCGAGGUCUGCGAACGCUGGCAGAUGUAUCUUGAAGUCUUCACGUACGGACUAGCUCACUGAUACCUGGUUUGAUAGGAAAUACCUGGAUCUGCACACAAAAUUGUGCAGAAGCGUAGUAUGAGUACACCACAAUGGUACCCACUAAGUACCAAGCCUAACCUUGGUAGAAUAGUGACGAGGUCAGGUCAGGGCCAUAUUAAAAAUAAUAAUAAACAAGACAGAAGAUAUAAAAAUAUAAUGAAAUGACAGAGAAGUGGAACAAUUAGAAUUUACAUAGGUAAUAACACAAAAUCAAAGAAAGACAAAUACAACAUGAAAGGAAAGCAAAGAUCUUACGAGUUAAGGAAAGACAACAACAACCAAUACAGCAAAUAAAGGAAAUCAACAGGGCACACCCGAGGUACCGCCUCGUAGUUCCAAAAGUAAAUAUCUCACAAUCCUUUCUUAUAUCACCGCGAGAGCCUUCAUAUUUAGUUUUUGAAAAUCAUUUUCCCAAAAUAGCAUCUCGCGUUUUAGCCCACAUUAUCACACCGAUGACUUCUAGUAGUUCCUCUUCUAGCCAAGCGUUUCAAGCCCACCUUAUCUCACUGCAUGUGUUUCAACACCCAGCCUUAUACCACCGCAUGUGUGUCAAUAAUCACAACGGCAUGACAGAAACCUUGUGCAAAAAAUAACAAUCGCACGACAAAAACCUCGUGCAACAAUAACAACUGCACGGCAGAAACCUCGUGCAACAACCAAACAAUCAUCUCAACAAUAAUCACGGAAAUCAAAACAUAACAACUAAAACAAUGAUAUUUCAAAGAUAGCAAUUUCACGUAAAGAAUCCCACAGUUAAAUAAGGAAUAUGGAAUCAAGAAAAUAGGUAAUUCAACUAAGCAUGUAGUACAAGUUACAAAUAAGAGAUAAGACAAGUAGACAAAUGAAAUUAGGCUAAACAUGAUGACUAUACAUGCUAAAGUUACUCAGUAAAGGCAUAAAAAUAUAACUACUUAGAUAAACCGAAAUUUCAACAUUUAGCCCGUGUACGCACUCGUAACCUCGUGUACACGGCCCUCACAUAUCACAAAUUGUCACAACAAUACCAAAUUCUAAUGGAAAUUUUUCCCACACAAGGUUACACAAGUCACUUACCUCAAACUUUGCUCAAUCAAUCAAUGAGAAGGCCUUUCCCUCGACUUUCCGACUCCGAACAACUCAAAUCUAGCCAAAAAUAAUUACAUACUAUAAAUAUAACUAUAGGAAACUAAUCUAAAUAACAAAAUUUUGAAAAAUUCGCUCCAAAAAGUCGACUCGAGCCCAUGUCUCAGAACCCGACCAAAAUUAAAAAAAUCCGAACACCCUUCGAUAUAGAUUCCAACCAUACAAAAAUUAUUCAAAUCCGAUCCCAAUUCACCUUUCAAAACUCAAGAAUUCGGUCUAAGAAUUCUCUACCUUUUCCUCCAAAUUUCUCAACCCAAAUCCUUUAUUAAAUGAAGAAAUCGAAGAUAGAUUAGUAGAAUAUAAUAAAAAACAAGUCAAGAAUCCUUACCCAAAUAUUUUCUCUGAAAAUCCAUCAAAAUCUCGCCUCAAUCCGAGUUUUAUAUCUCAAAAUAUGAAGAAAAUGACAAACUCUCGAUUUCAAACAGUCUGCCCAACGUUUUCCACAUUUGCGGACAAGAAAUCACUUCUGCGACGUCGUACAUAUGGAAAAACCAUCGCAGGUGCGGAAAAACACUAAGUCCAAGGCUUCCGCUUCUGUGGAUAACGCCCCCAUCUACGAGACCGCUUUUGCGGGAAUAGAAUACAAAAAACUAUAGUGUACACCAAUCAUUAGUUGAGACAUCUUUUUGACAAUAAAGGAACGCCAUCCCCCUAUAUAUAUAUAUAUCAUCAUGAUCUUUUCGGGGUACACCAUUAUAUAUAUAUANNNNNNNNNNNNNNNNNNNNNNNNNNNNNNNNNNNNNNNNNNNNNNNNNNNNNNNNNNNNNNNNNNNNNNNNNNNNNNNNNNNNNNNNNNNNNNNNNNNNNNNNNNNNNNNNNNNNNNNNNNNNNNNNNNNNNNNNNNNNNNNNNNNUGAAUCCAAAAUACAGAAGUGGAUGAAAAGAUGUGGAAUGCUCAAUACAUGACUGAAGUCAUGGGCAUUACAUUUCCCGUUUGAUUAGAAUAAGUUAUAGAACAAUGAACUAGCACCUAUAGCUAGCGAGCAUCAAGGUUCAGAUCAGAGUCUGCAUGAAGAACCAGUCAAGACUCAAGAUCAAGUUUCAGAAUACUCAUAUAUAGAAAUCAUGUAACUCAUAACUGGUAGGCUUGUUUAAUUUACCUGCGACUACUGACACUUCUGCGCCCAUACCAUCGCAGAAGCGAAUGCGCUUCUGCAGAAUAUUUCCCGCUCUUGCGACCACUGCUGGGCAUGACCAAACUAACUUCUGCGACCAAGAUCUCGCUUUUGCGAACGCGCACUUACGGCCAAUCCCUUUGCAGGUGCGAAACAACCCAGCUUUAGCAUAUUUCACAAGUCCCAAUUUGUUUCGGAUUCGAGAAAUUUUUUGAAAAAAAUCUACGUUCGAUCCGAAUCACACUCGAGCCCCCCGAGACCUCUACCAAUAAUACCAAUAAGUCCUAAAACAUCAUACGAACUUAGUCGAGCCUUCAAAUCACAUCAAACAAUGCUAAAACCAUGAAUCGUACCCCAAUUCAAGCUUAACGAACUUAUAAAAUUCUGACUUCCACAUCCGAUGCCCAAGCCUAUCAAAUCAAGUCCGAUUGACCUCAAAUAUUACACACGUCACAUUUGACAUUAAGAACCUACUCCAACUUCCAGAAUCAAAAUCUGACCCCGAUAUCAAAAGUCCACUUCCAGUCGAAGUUUCAAGAAAUCUUUCAACUUUCUAACUUUCGUCGAUUAACGCCGAAAUGACCUAUGGAUCUCCAAAUCAACAUCCGUACAUGCUCCUAAGACCAAAAUUACCCUACGGAGCUAUUGGAACCGACAAAACUCUAUUCUGGAGUCGUCUUCACACAACUCAACCCACGGUCAACUCUUACAACUUAAACUUCAACUCUAAGGACUAUAUGUCCCAUUCCACUCCGAAACUCACCCGAACCCGAACCCGACACCAAGCACCCUGGCAAGUCAAGUAAAUACAAAACAAAAUAAAGGGAGCAAUAAAUAGGGGAUCGGGGCUAAUACUCUCAAAUCGAUCGAUCAGGUAAUUACAUCUCUAAGAUUUGUGUAAACUUGAAAAAUAAUUUUACCUAUAUAAUGAAUUUGGAAAAGAAUAAAAUUGGAUUAGUUUUCUAGUUAGUUAACCCGAAAAAAGGUCAAUUAAUAUACUUAAUUAUCUUUUUCAAUCACUAAUAGAAAUAAUUUAUUUUUUGAGGAUUUAAAUUAUUAAUAUUAGCUCAUAGCAUAAAAUAAAUAUUUAAUUAUAACUAUAUUUUUAUCCACGAAAAAUUCUUUUGUCAAAUCAUAAAAAAUCGAACUUUUGCACUUCAUGUUUGUCGUAGCUUUAGUAAAUGACUUUUGUCAGUCACUUUUCAGUUUUCUCGAUCUCUUUCUCUUGUUAUGAUUAAAUAUUUUCGUAAUUAUAUUUUCUAAUAAUAUUUUAAAAUCUAUAUUAAUAUUUAUAUCUAAGUAAAUUAUUGAUCAAACAGUAAAAUUAAUAAUCAAUGGACCAAUCUCACAUAGAAUACUCAUAACAUUUAUAUGUUAAAUGCUGAUUUGAAUAAAGGGCAAAGCAAGCUACUUCCUCUUCCUUUAAUUUUUUCUUUACUUUUUUCGUUUACAUCAUAAUUGUUCACUUAAAAUUUAGCAUGAUUAUACAAUUUCUUUUGGGCUAAAAAAUGUUCAAUUAUAUAAAACUAGAUGAGUGGUGCCCGUGCUGUGCCCGGGCAUAUGCCCGAUAUUGUUAAGUUAUUUGUCCAGCUUAAAGAUUACCAAGAAAAUUUAAUGCUGAGACGUUUAGCAAGGUUGCUGACAAAGGAAGCGUUGUUACUGCAUACUUUUUUUUGGUGAUAAGGGAUUCAGAUAUUAUCAUAACAAAAAAUUAAUAGUCAUUACAAAAUAUUCCUUAUAACAUUAAGGGUAGCUAAAUUAUCAAGUCUAACAAAAAAAUUACCUCUUCUUAAACUGCUAAAACAACUGAACUAACAGAUGGAGGAAACUGGAUGACGAACAACGACAUUAGGGUUGGUCUAUUUGGAUCCAUCCUUGGACAAAAGAUGUUCCACCAUGUGUCCUUGCCUGAAGCUAUGCCGCAUUAUCGGGCUCCCUAGGAUUUACAUUAACAAUCUGCGGGCAUCAACGAUAGAGACAUAAGUAGGUGUUGGAUUUUCUAAUAGUAAUAUUACCUCCGUUGAUAUCAAUAUAAUUUCCAGCAGGGAAAAGUCAAAUAUGAAUCACAUAAAAUUAUAAAAAGAGUCCCAGAUUAAGAAACAUAAGCAAGAUUCUACCCUUUUGGAGUGAAACAAACAAAUAGAAUGUUUUUUGAGAAAACAGUCAAACACAGGAUCAAAAAGGAAAAUAUGGAAGACUACCUUGAUAAUUUGUGAUUCUUUUUCUCGAAAAGGAAAAUAUGGAAGACUACCUUGAUUAUUUGUGAUUCUUUUUCUCGAAUAGCUUCUGAUGUUUAUCAAUCAGCACUGAAGAUGAGUAAAGCAGUGCAGACAUGUACACGACAAGUGAUUCUAUAUACGGUGGCAGGGACGCAAGUGAAAUUAUCCAAAAGGAAGCAGUUUUUUUCCGGGACCAUGUCGCAGUGCCAGCAGCUCGUGAACAGUUGUUGCUUCAUACUACAAACAUCCAUUGAGGAGCAAAAUGUUUGUACAACAUCAGUAAAAAUCAUGAAAUAUGUACUUGCAACAUAGUAAACUUUUCCAUACUCUAUAUCCUUCUUGAAAAUUGAUUAUUCCACAAAUCUUUGUUAUUAUAAAUAUUCUUUUGCAAUAGUAUUGAAAAAAAGGAUUAGAACCUGCAGAGAGAGCUUAAGCAAUACUAAAGCAGCAAACGCAGAAUGUUUCUAUUAGAUAAACUAUAAUGUACAGCCCAAGUAAUACACAUAAUUCUAAUUCUUCAAAAAAAUUAAACGAAAAUAAUAUACAUACUUGAGAUAUUAUAAAAUAACAAUUUUAAUGUGUAAUUAAUUCAAUAUUUCUGACUUUUGAGACAAAGGAACAGUGAACUAUCAGAAGUUUUUCAUCAGCUAUAAAGAUUGACAAAGAAAAUGAAUUACUUGGCAAUGACUUCUCUACUCUAACUAUGAAAAUGAUGUACUAAAAAACUACAUUUAUUGUUCACAGAGAGGAGGGAUAAAAUCUUGAAAUAAUUAAGAGGCUAUAUUGAAUUUCAGAAACAUUUGUAACUAACACAUCUUUCCAAUACAAACUGAAAAAGAGAAAUCAAAGUUAGCUGCAAAUUCUAUUGCAAAUAGGGGUGUUCAAGGUUCGGUUUGGAUCGGUUAUUUAUCGGUUUUUUCUUAAAUAUAAGAAAUACACUACCAAACGCACAUUUCGGCGAUCACAUUUUCAACGCAACACUAUCAAAUCAAUUGCCCUUUGAGAAAUCUAUUAUUUACCAAGAUAUAUUGAUGAUAAUUGAAUCAAAUAGUGAUGAAUAAUUUAAGGACUCAAUUAAAAAUAUAUUAUUUUUAACAUGAAAUAGAUUCUUACACUUAACAAAAGAAAACUACCAAUUAAACUAGAAUGUAAAGGUAAAGAACUGUACUAAAAGUACAAAUGAUUAAUAUUUACUAUAAAAAUUUUAAAACUUUGUAUAAAAAUAUACAUAUAUAUAGGUGUAAUAAUAAAUUUAAAAUGGCUACUNNNNNNNNNNNNNNNNNNNNNNNNNNNNNNNNNNNNNNNNNNNNNNNNNNNNNNNNNNNNNNNNNNNNNNNNNNNNNNNNNNNNNNNNNNNNNNNNNNNNNNNNNNNNNNNNNNNNNNNNNNNNNNNNNNNNNNNNNNNNNNNUUUGAUUCGGGUUUUCGGAUUUUUAUGAACACCCCUAAUUGCAAAGAUUAACUUGAGGCACCAAUGCAAGCCCAAUGCUUCUAAUGCAAUACAAUCAAUGUUAAGCUUUAAAAAUAUCUCACUACUGAUAAAAUUCUUUUCAAAAUGUAUAGUUUUAUGUGAUAUCAAGUAGUUAUGUCCAACCUCUUCAGUAUUUACCGUCUUAAAAUCCUAUUUCUAAGAUAAGAUUGCAUAUUUUACUAUUCAUAAUCUUCCUAACAACAGGACGAAAUAGUGAUUGUGUACUAAACUUGAAAAAAGACACGAGCGGCUAACAAAAAGCCGAGGGUGAGCUGCAGUAGGGCUUGCUUUACCUGCAAAUAUUUUCACAAACAGGAUAUUAAAUUAGAUCACAGAAUGUUGAAAGACGGAAAAGAAAGUGGUUUCAUCUAACAUAGAAGAACCUACAUAUUUAUGUCAAGUUUUUCCCCUCAAGCAUAACAAAGAAAGUGGUUUCCAUAAUACUAACAAAGUUUUUGAAAAAAAAAAUUGAAAUAUAUAUUUACAGAAAGAAUAACAAAGCGCAAUUUGUUGUUGACCUUCAUUUCAUUCUCAAUGGAGUUGUUUGCUCCAGUUUUUGUUUCAUCUUUAACGAUUUCAGUUGGUAACGCAUAUUUAUUCUUUGGUGUAUCAAAAGAGUCUUUCUUUCUUGCUGCCUUCACAAAUGUCAGUAAACGUCUAUGCUAGGAGAGAAUGAAGAAUGUUUUCUUUUUCAACACAUGAUAAAAUAUUCAAUUCUCCAGACAUUGUGGAAGAAAUGCAUGCUAAUAAUUUUUUAGCUUGGAUUACGAACAGUUUGAGUAAGCAACUUUUUGGCAAAGACUCUUCUUGGAAAAAAAUACUAAGCUUUUUGUAAGAUCAAUCAUGUAAUAGACAUGUAUAAAUUGUUUAGUUCAAAUAAUCGCAGAAUAUUUUUACAGAUUGAAUUUGUAUUUUGAUUGAGGUUACCUUGUAAAUUUCCUCUACAGUAUGGGAUAGAGUAGUAUUUUUCUCCUUAUUCUCUCACAAUUAUCUCAAUUAUUGAGCCGGAGGCAUCUUGAAAAUCAAGAUCAAACCUGUAACAGUGUAUGACUAAAACACUAUGUUGAUAAGAACAGAAGAUUCUGGUAAAAAUUUAGUAUUAUGUCUUCAUCCACGGGAACAAGGAUGAGAGAUUCGAAUUUUGAUGCACUACUCAUGGUGAAAGAGACAAGCAUUUCUCCGUCUUCCAUGAUCUUGUCCAUGGUAGAAAACACUAAACUUUUGAAGAUUAAUAAUAAGAAAGAAACAAACACAAUAUAUGUAGGAGCAGGGAGUAGUGUUAUACCUUACAUGUAGUUGCUACAUUGUGGAUAAGGUGGGUCAAUCUGUAUUGACGUUUUGAACCUUGUAGUCAAUGAUGUAUCUACAUUAAUUAAGUACAAGAGAUUACAAAAUUACACUGUAACUUUGUAUAAGAUGGAUUAUUGUUUAUUUUAGCUUACCAUUAUAGUUGAACCCCCAAUAUUUCUUGCAAGAAUGACAGGAUAUUCUUUGAAUUAUUUCAUGAGUUACUUCGUUGAACUUUAAUAAAUGCUUUUCUGGUAUCUCGGUAAAUAAAAUAUAAAUAUAUUAAAUCCAAAACUUACUCAAUAAGUAUCUUACUUUCUUUCAGAUGCUUCUUCACUUGUCAACUUUAAUUAGGAUCAAGCUUAUUCUACAACUAAAAAGACAAUGAGUAUACAAGCUGCACAAGAAGCAGGGUGGAUAAAUAGCUGCUAUUGCACAUUAUAAAUUAUUUCUAUUUCAAAAAGGUAAAAGAAAGGUACUUUAUUUCCUUAAGCUAAUUUUCAAAUGUUAAGUUAAUGCAACAUCAAUUUUCAACUAAGAAAAACAUGCACAUGUAAGAAGCCACUUACAAAGAAGACAUUGAAAUAUACAUUUGAAAGAGGGUAUUUUAUUAAAACUUUAGGAAGUUCUGCUAUUUAUAUUAUUGGUUUACGCUUAUAGGAUUAAGUUAAUUUCUAAAUGAAACUAACAAAACAUAGUCACGAAACAACAAAUGCAUACAAAAUGAUCUCAGCUGAUCUACGCUAACUCAAAAGAUCCAAAAGAAAGAAAAAUAUUUUUAAACAAAAAUUAGCAUAUAGUAUUCCUCCAAAUUAAAUGAAUAAAAAGUAACAUAAACAAAAAAAAUACGUAGUUGAAAUAACAUUAAACUUCAUGACAAAUCCAAUUGAGAGCUAAUCUGUGACAAUCUAAAACAUGCAAAAUACAAAAACUUUUAAGGAGACAAAUUAGCAUUCAUUCACCCAGAAACAACCAAAAACAAAAACCCGAAUAUUUUGAUCGAAGCUGAAAUAGAAUAAAAAAAUUUCAACCAACUGAGAGCUAAUCUACUAAUAUCACAUAAAAUUAGCAUUAUUCCAAAAUCGACCCCAAGAAAAUAGAACAACAAUAGGAUUUUUUUAUAGAAUCCAUAAUGCUUGCAAGAGUCAUGGAAGCAGAAGGCAAAAGAAAGAUUUUUGGCUGCAUUUGGUAUCAAUUUGAUGGAGAAUGAUAUGUGGAUCUAGAUUGAGAAUGAAAAAAGAAAAUAGUAAAAUUAGAAUGAGAUAAGAAUAGAAAAAGAAUGAGCAAAGAUGGCCGUACCAAGCUUCAAUACAUGAACGCCCACCGUUUGUUGCCGACGACGAUAAAGACCCAAAGCUUCACUCAAAUCUAUUGCUUUUAGACUCUAUCGUUACGAUAGAGAGAAGUUGGAGGUGAAACGGACGCAUGGAAGAAGAGGGUCUUGAGUUGAGACAUGUAGAGUCGGUGAUAUGAAAG
rnacentral:lncRNA from 1 species